GCAGCCAUGGUCGAGUGGGUAAGGCGUCUGACGAAAAAUCAGAAGUGAUCUUCUCGCGCAGGUUCGAAUCCUGCUUGCUGCG